ACAACGACCUCAGAGCAGGCGAGACUACCC
rnacentral:rRNA from 2 species